rnacentral:rRNA from 1 species
GACGAACGCUGGCGGCGUGCCUAAUACAUGCAAGUAGAACGCUGAAGGAGGAGCUUGCUUCUCUGGAUGAGUUGCGAACGGGUGAGUAACGCGUAGGUAACCUGCCUGGUAGCGGGGGAUAACUAUUGGAAACGAUAGCUAAUACCGCAUAAUAGUAGAUGUUGCAUGACAUUUGCUUAAAAGGUGCAAUUGCAUCACUACCAGAUGGACCUGCGUUGUAUUAGCUAGUUGGUGAGGUAACGGCUCACCAAGGCAACGAUACAUAGCCGACCUGAGAGGGUGAUAGGCCACACUGGGACUGAGACACGGCCCAGACUCCUACGGGAGGCAGCAGUAGGGAAUCUUCGGCAAUGGACGGAAGUAUGACCGAGCAACGCCGCGUGAGUGAAGAAGGUUUUCGGAUCGUAAAGCUCUGUUGUAAGAGAAGAACGAGUGUGAGAGUGGAAAGUUCACACUGUGACGGUAUCUUACCAGAAAGGGACGGCUAACUACGUG